UUAAAAGGUAAAUAAAUUUAUUUGAGUAGUAUUAGUUAUAUUCUUGAAACUAAAAAAAUUUGGCGGUAUUUUAGUCUAUUCAGAGGAACUUGUUUUUUAAUCGAUAAUCCACGAUGUACCUUACUUAAAAUUGUUAAUCAAUCUAUAUAUCGUUGUUAUUAGAAUAUUUUAUAAGAAUAAUAAUUUUCUAUAAUUUAAAUUAAAAUUAAUAUCAAAUCAAGGUGUAGUUUAUUUUUAAGAAUAAAUGAGUUACAAUAAAAUAUAUUUUUGGAUUUAAAUAUGAAAAAUUUAAUUAAAUUGGAUUUGAUAGUAAAAUUAUAAAGAUAAAUAAUUUGAUUUAAGCUCUAAAAUAUGU
rnacentral:rRNA from 1 species